AGACCCGAAACCCGGUGAUCUAGCCAUGGGCAGGUUGAAGGUUGGGUAACACUAACUGGAGGACCGAACCGACUAAUGUUGAAAAAUUAGCGGAUGACCUGUGGCUGGGGGUGAAAGGCCAAUCAAACCGGGAGAUAGCUGGUUCUCCCCGAAAGCUAUUUAGGUAGCGCCUCGUGAAUUCAUCUCCGGGGGUAGAGCACUGUUUCGGCUAGGGGGCCAUCCCGGCUUACCAACCCGAUGCAAACUGCGAAUACCGGAGAAUGUUAUCACGGGAGACACACGGCGGGUGCUAACGUCCGUCGUGAAGAGGGAAACAACCCAGACCGCCAGCUAAGGUCCCAAAGUCAUGGUUAAGUGGGAAACGAUGUGGGAAGGCCCAGACAGCCAGGAUGUUGGCUUAGAAGCAGCCAUCAUUUAAAGAAAGCGUAAUAGCUCACUGGUCGAGUCGGCCUGCGCGGAAGAUGUAACGGGGCUAAACCAUGCACCGAAGCUGCGGCAGCGAACGUAUCACCCAAGACAACUUUACGGAGUUGACGAUUGACGGAGCGAAGCGACGUCAAAGCGUUCAUUAAAGUCGAGUUGGCUUAGGGAUACGUUCGUUGGGUAGGGGAGCGUUCUGUAAGCCUGUGAAGGUGUGUCGUGAGGCAUGCUGGAGGUAUCAGAAGUGCGAAUGCUGACAUAAGUAACGAUAAAGCGGGUGAAAAGCCCGCUCGCCGGAAGACCAAGGGUUCCUGUCCAACGUUAAUCGGGGCAGGGUGAGUCGACCCCUAAGGCGAGGCCGAAAGGCGUAGUCGAUGGGAAACGGGUUAAUAUUCCCGUACUUGGUGUUACUGCGAAGGGGGGACGGAGAAGGCUAUGUUGGCCGGGCGACGGUUGUCCCGGUUUAAGCGUGUAGGUGUGUGUUCCAGGUAAAUCCGGUUCACUUUAACACUGAGGCGUGACGACGAGGCACUACGGUGCUGAAGCAACAAAUGCCCUGCUUCCAGGAAAAGCCUCUAAGCAUCAGGUAACAUCAAAUCGUACCCCAAACCGACACAGGUGGUCAGGUAGAGAAUACCAAGGCGCUUGAGAGAACUCGGGUGAAGGAACUAGGCAAAAUGGUGCCGUAACUUCGGGAGAAGGCACGCUGACACGUAGGUGAAGUGAUUUACUCAUGGAGCUGAAGUCAGUCGAAGAUACCAGCUGGC
rnacentral:rRNA from 1 species